rnacentral:rRNA from 1 species
UACAGAGGUCUCAAGCGUUGUUCGGAUUCAUUGGGCGUGAAAGGGUGUGUAGGUGGCGCGCUAAGUCGGGUGUGAAAUUUCGGAGCUUAACUCCGAAACUGCAUUCGAUACUGCGGUGCUUGAGGACUGGAGAGGAGACUGGAAUUCAUGGUGUAGCAGUGAAAUGCGUAGAGAUCAUGAGGAAGACCAGUGGCGAAGGCGGGUCUCUGGACAGUUCCUGACACUGAGACACGAAGGCCAGGGGAGCAAACGGG